AGGUGAUAUAUUGAAAAAAGGUAUAUGUAAUUAAUAUUAUUUUAAGGAUUACGAAUCAAAAUUUAAAUAAUGAUAAAAAGAUAAAAACUGUAAUAACAGGGAUCAAUCAUAAUCAUGAAAAUGAUAAAAAGAGAAACAAGUGGAAUGAAACAUCUGAGUAACUUGUUAAAUAACCAACAGGGAUAAUAUAAGUAACGGUGAGUGAAAGUAUUAAAAUCUUAAAGUAUUACCAAGAGGUAAGAAUAAAGUAGUUUCCAACUACUAAGAAAUAAAAUUAAAUUUUAGAUUAAAGUACCGCAAGGGAAAGUAAAGAAAUAGAAUAAUAAAGAGCAGUUAUAGUAUAACGUACCUCUUGUAUAAGUGCGACAAGAAGCAUUAAUAAUUAAUGUGGCUAAUAACCACCUAACCUUUCCAUUGGUUAGACCCUAUCUAUACAUGCUGAAGGAGUAAUCAUCAGUUUGAAGCUAUAGAGACAAUGUAACAUUAUUCCCAUUAAAUUUAAUCGGAGUGCUAGGGUAAUAAUUCUAUGAUAAACGAAAGUGAACUUGCAUUGAGGCUUCGUAAAAAAUGGCCCCGCUUCGCGGGGCGAUACCGGCCUACCGGCCGGCAUUGUUAAGUCAAAUCUUUCUUAUACUGGGAUUUGAAAUGGAACAUAUUUAACACGAAGUAAAGCAUAGUAUCUAAGGAAUGUCCGGUAUAUGACCGGUAAAUUAUCCCCCUGCUUCGCAGGGGAUGAUUAAUCCCGAAGGGGGAUAAAUUAUGGAAAAUUAAUCCGUUAAUGUAUUUUAAUUAUUAGUGAACUUGGUAAGCCCUUAGUUUUCUAAAUAUAAUGUUAUAUUUAGAGGUAACAUAUAAAGAUUAAUCUGAAAUUGUUAUAUCGAACUUAGGGUAUAAGAAGAUUCAAAAAGCGAAUGCAGAUUAGUAAUAGAUCUGAUAAAGUUUUAUAACUUAAUCCGAGAGGAUGCAGACUUGAAUCAUUGUGAUCUUCAUAAUUAUUUAGCUCUUUAAGAGCAAUAUGAUAAUCUAAAGCUUUCGGUAGAUUAUGAUAGAGAUCUUGUUAUAAUACAAGUGAAAAUAAUUAUUGCUAAAUAAAAGCCCACAUAGUGGGUAAUUGGCUAAUAUUGUAAUAUGGGCCCGCCUUCGGCGGGCCGAUAUUAUCCCCGGCUCCGCCGGGGAAAUAUUACAAUUAAGUAAGAUUGCAUGAGCCGUAUGCGAUGAAAGUCGCACGUACGGUUCUAAGGGGGGGAAAAACUGAGAGGUUCUACCUAUCCCAAUUGGGCCAGUGAGUUAUAUAAUUUAGUGAAAAAUUGAAUAAAAAUUUUUAUAUAUAAAUAGAAAUAAAUUAAAUUAUAUAGGCCCGAAAGCAAACGAUCUACACAUGUCCAAGUGUAUAUACAACCUAUUUUAGGUUUAUAUAUGACUCAAUAGGUAAUUGUAGCAAUAAUUUCUAAAGAGGUGUGUGUAGCUGUGACAGACAAAUCUGGUUUGCAGAUAGCUGGUUUUCUGCGAAAUAUAUUUUAGUAUAGCCUUUAUACAUAUUUAAACUGGUACAGCACUUAAAUAACUUUGGGGAAUUAGAAUAUAAUUUUAUCAAAAUAUUUAAACCUCGGAAUCAGUUAAUAAUAAUAUAAGGAGUCAGACUUAUUGCGAUAAGGUAGUAGGUCGAGAAGGAAACAACCUAGACUAUUAAAUGAAUGUCCCAAAUAUUAAUUAAGUGAACAAAAUCUAUCCUACUUUUAUUUUUUUUAAUAAAGGUUGAAAUUAUAUGUUAUAAUUUCUUCCCCUCAGGGGAAGAUAAUCAUCCCCCGCUUCGCGGGGGAUAAUUUCACAUUAUUUUUCUUCGGAAUUAUAUACGGGGUAUUAAAUUAUAGACAAUUAGUAAGUGGGUUUGACAAUAAUCAACUUUUAAUGAACAUGUAACAAUGCACUAAUUUUAUAUAUAUAUAUAUAAAUAAUAUAUAUAUUUAUUAAUAAUAGAGAAAAUAUAUCGGGUCUAAAUUAAUAACAGUAUUAUAGAUAUAAUCAUUAAGAUUAUAUGGUAGCAGAAUAUAUAAUGGAUAAUUAUAAAGAGAUUGCUGGCUUGAGUAACGAUAGAUAAUAUAAGAUUAUCCCCUUAUUCAUAAGGUUUUACUAUAAACGAACGGUCCCUAAGAUAAUUAUAGAAAUAUAAAAUUGAUGGGUGAAAGAACAAGAAAAUAAAAAUGAACCGUACUGUAGACCGACACAGGUAUGAUUAGCAAAAAGGGAAUGGGAUAACUACUUUGAAUGAACUCGGCAAAAUAAAUCGUGCGACUGUUUACCAAAAACAUAGCUUAUUGCAUACUAGUAAUAGUAAGUAUAAUAAGUGAUAUCUGCCCGGUGUUAGUUUAAUAAAUAUUAUUAUUUAAUAGAUAAUUUUAUAAAAGACUGAUAAACGGCGGUCUUAUUGUGAGGAUCCGAAGGUAGCGGUGCGACAAGAUAAAUGAGGGGGUUCGUUGCCCCCUGAUUAUAUCCCCCUUUGGGGGAUAAAUUCGUAAUAAGAAUAAGGUGAAAACCCUUUACAAUAAAAGUCAUAUUUGUAAACCUAAUUCAACAUGCAUUAUGAGUAAUUAUUUUGUAUGAAGCUUGAAUGACAACGGCUAUAAACUUUAUCUGAUAUAAGUGAUCUGGUCUAGGUUAGAACGACAUGAUUAGUUUAUCAAAAUAGUGGAUUAAAAUCUCGUUAUAGGAAAGUAACAUGAUCAGUUUUUGGUUACUAUAUAUGAUUUAAAUAAUAUCGACGCUACGGAUAUUAUUAUAUGACUUAAUAAUAAAAAAUCAUCGGGAUAUAGCUAUAAUCUAAAUCGUUCAUUAAAGUCUUAUUACGGAAACUUGGUAAGCCUUAUACAUACCUAUAUUUUAUAGGAAGUAAUAUAUAAAAUUAUAUAUAAUGGAAAUUAUUAUAUAGUGUAGAAGGUAAAGGAUAAAUAUAAAAAGCGAAUGAUUUUAUGUAAUGUAAAAUAUAGAGUUAAAUAACUCAUUCUGAAAGGAAGCUAACUUAUAUAUAAGGCCAUAAAAAAUUUUAUGGUUUGAGCCGUAAGCAGUGAAAGUUGCACAUACGGUUCUUAAGGGGGGAAAGCUUGAGAGGGCCUACCUAUCCUAACAAAUUCAUUGACGUAUAAUUGACGUCCUGCAUGAAUGAAUAUACGAUGCGAUAACUGUAUCCAAAGUAGACUCAGUGAAAUAGCAAUUGCGGUGAAAUUAGUACUAUAAUAAAUAUAUUAUACGCCGGGUUGGUGUAAAUCCAACUUUAUAGUUUUAAUAAUGCCGGCCGUAGGCCGGUAUGGCCCCGCUUAGCGGGGCCAUGAUAUAUUAAAUGUCUUAAAUGAUAGAUAAGUAUAAUAAAUAAGAAUACAAUCGAAAUAAUACUUACCCCUUAAAUAUAAGGGUAAAUUACAUAUAGGCAAUAUGUAGUUUAAUCACUAUAAAUAAAAAGGUGAAAACGGUUAAUGACAUCUUAGUUAAAGACCGUCGGCAGUUGUAUAUGUCGCUACAGACUGGUUCACCGAGGUUAGACUGAAAUGUCUGUCUAAAUGUACAGUCGGAUUCUGUAAUAUAAUAUUUAUAUUAUAUAGAGGUGAAAGAUGUAUAAAAAAAUACAACUUAUUAGUACUUAAGCAAGAAACCUUUGUAGGUCAAACCUACUUAAAUUAAUCAGAAUUGGAAGAUGCCGUAUAUCCGUAGGUUGACAAAAAGACCCUAUGCAGCUUUACUAUAUCUUUAUUUUGAUUUUUAAUCAUAAUACUUUUAUGAUUAGCCUUUUUUCAUUUAUUUCAGCAGAUUAGGUUAUAUUUAUAUUUUAAAUCAAAUGAGAUACCUAUAUAAUUGAAAAAAGAAUCUAAUUAAUACAGUCAGAAUUCUAUAAUAUAGAAUGUUAGUUAUACUAAUUGACUUAAGUUUAACUUAUUUAAGAAAGAGUAAAGAGGUUAGUUUCGAUGGGGCGUCGACAUCAGCGAAAGCAUCUGAUGUGUCUAAUAACAAUGAUCUUGAUUAAUCAAGACUAAAUGUUUAAUUAAAUUUUUUAUUUAAUAGUAAAUUACGUACAAUAAUUCUAUAUGGUAAAUAGAAUAAAAGAUUAUAAGUAAGGAUAACAACAUAAUUGUGCGAUGAUAAUAACACUAACAAGUGGAAUUAGUACUUACGUAGAGUGUAGUGAACAGGCAUAAACAAAUGGUAUGGAUGUCGAUAACGGAUUAAAGUUACGCUAGGGAUUAAUUGUUAGUUCCUUUAUAUAGAAAUAUAUAUUUAUCUACGCUUUAGUUAGAUAACUUUCAUUUGAAAGAUAUUAAUUGGGUGAAUUACAUAGAACUCUUUAUAUAUAAAGACAAUAUGUAGCGAAACAUAUAUUAGUUAAAUUUUUAAGAUAUAUGAACGUUCAACGACUAGUAAUUGAGUAAACUAACAAUAAUAUUACCACGAGCGCCCAAUACCUAUGAAUUAUCCCCCCCGCGAAGCGGGGGUAUGAUUAUAUCUCCCAAAGGAGAUAAAUGGCCCCGCUUCGCGGGGCAUAUUAUAUCCCGGCUACGCCGGGAUAAAUUAUUAGGUAAAGAAAUAGUCUGAACUAUAUAGUAAUAUAUAGAUGUUGUUAUUAAAAAAACAACAAAUAACAAAAUUGAACAGGGUAAUACCGCGUGAGAGUUGAUAUCGUCAGCGGUGUUUGCCACCUCGAUAAAUAACGAUAGUCGAGUUUAAAUAGGUUUAAUUGCAAGAAGUCUAAAAUAUAUGACAUAUUAGUUUGAUAUAUAAAAUGAUGAUUUGCAGCGAAUUAUUAUUUAUAUAAAUAAUAUAUAUAUAUUAUAAGAAUAAUAAACGUUCAACGACUAGUAGGUGAGUAAAAUAAAAUAUCCUACCACGAAAUACCUAGAAAUAUAUAUAUUUAUAUUUUAAGAUAUAGUCUGAACAAUAAUGAAAAUUAUUGAAGUUAAUAUUAAAUAAGUUAACGAUAACAAAUUGGUCGUCUAGACUCGUCCUCCUGGUCGCAGCAACUAGGUAGGGUAGGACUGUUCGUCCUCUAAGGAGUUACUUGAGAUGGGUUAAUUACGACGUGAGUCAGUAAUGAUUUUAUCAUCUAUGGAUUUUUUUCUUAUCUGUUGCCUUAAGUGUACGCAAGGAUAAUAAGGUACAUUCCUAUGGUUAAUUAUUAUAUUUAGCUAAGAAUGUUGUGUUUACAUAUUGAAUGCAUAUCAAAUAUUAAAUCCUUCAGAUAAGUUUAUACAUUAUAGACUAUAAUGUAUUAGUUAAUUUGUUAUAUUUGCAAAUAUACUAAUUUAUUUACUCAUAUUUUAUGAGUAUAAAAAAAAACAUAUACCU
rnacentral:rRNA from 1 species